rnacentral:rRNA from 1 species
AUUGAACGCUGGCGGCAGGCCUAACACAUGCAAGUCGAGCGGAGAGGCGGACGGGUGAGUAAUGCCUAGGAAUCUGCCUGGUAGUGGGGGAUAACGUCCGGAAACGGGCGCUAAUACCGCAUACUAUCAGCGGAGCCUAGGUCGGAUUAGCUAGUUGGUGGGGUAAAGGCCUACCAAGGCGACGAUCCGUAACUGGUCUGAGAGGAUGUUCAGUCACACUGGAACUGAUACCGGGUCCAGACUCCUACGGGAGGAAGCAUUGGGUAAUAUUGGACAAUGGGCGAAAGCCUGAUCCAGACAUGCCGCGGGUGGGAAGAAGUUCUUCGGAUUUUAAAGCACUUUAAGUUGGGAGGCGGUACCAACAGAAUAAGCACCGGCUAACUUCGUGCCAGCAGCCGCGGUAAUAC